rnacentral:misc_RNA from 1 species
AAGUGGUUACACCUAAUCUGCAUUCAUCACUUAAAUGCAUGCAUCUAUCAAUGUAAUCACAAUAAGAUUAAAAGCAAGUUCUAGAGAUACAAUAUUCAUGAAUGAAUACCGCACACAACAAAGAAAUAGAUUGAUAUUGAUAUUGAUAUUUGAAUCAUAGGCUCAAAAGUUCACAAAAGGUAUAUUGAUCUUCCAUAUUAGAACAUUCAACCUUUCAAUUCAAUUACCACAUGAAGAAAGCCUAAGUUGCAACUCAACUCAUUCAUUUUAUCCAUGCUCUCAUCAAGCUAGAUCAAUUUAUACUCAAAACAUACCUAAUCUCAUUAAUCUUGGAAAGCACUUAAAACACACAAAAGACAUAACAUGUAGACACAAAAAAUUUGAAAAAGAAAACGCAAAAAGACAUUGACACACAUAUAAACACAUGGAAAAGAUACUAAUCCCUUCCCCACACUUAAAACUUGCAUUGUCCUCUAUGUAAGGGUAAGGAAAUAGAAACAAAAAUAAAAGUAGAAAGGAUAAAAGCAAAUAUGAUUAUUAAAGAUCCUUGGGUUGCCUCCCAAGUAGCGCAUUUAUUUAAAGUCAUUUGCUUAACUUCAUACCUUUCUUCAUUCUCCAUACUUGGGGCCCUCUAAGUCCAUCUUUUCAACAUUAUGCUCUUAAAAGCUCUCAUAGUAUGGCUUCAACCUAUGCCCCUUCACCUUGAACACUUCGUUUGUUGCUACACUUUGAAUUUCAACUCCACCAUGAUAAAAAAACAUUAUUAACAACAAAAGGAUCAACCCACCUAUAAUGCAACUUAGAAAAAGUUUAAGUUUCGAGUGGGAUAAGAGUACUUUCUAACCAACUACAAACUUCUUCUUUCUAACUAUGUUGUCAUAGAAUGCUUUAGUCUUCUCUUUGUAGAUUCUAGAUUCUCAUAUGCAUUAUUCUUAAUUUUUUUCCAACUAUUGCAAUUGCAACUUCCUAUGUAUUCCAUCAUUAUCAAUGUUCAUGUUGCAUUACUUAAUAGCCCAAAAUGCCUUGUGCUCAAUUUCCACAGGGAGAUGAUAGGGCUUAUCAUACACCAAUUGAUAAGGACACAUACCAAUUGGAGUCUUGUAUACGGUCCUAUAUGCCCACAGUGCAUCAUCCAACCUCAAACUCUAAUCUUUCCUUGAAGGAUUAACUGUCUUCUCUAGAAUGGGCCUAAUCUCUCG